GGGUUGUGAGGUUAAGCGACUAAGCGUACACGGUGGAUGCCCUGGCAGUCAGAGGCGAUGAAGGACGUGCUAAUCUGCGAUAAGCGUCGGUAAGGUGAUAUGAACCGUUAUAACCGGCGAUUUCCGAAUGGGGAAACCCAGUGUGUUUCGACACACUAUCAUUAACUGAAUCCAUAGGUUAAUGAGGCGAACCGGGGGAACUGAAACAUCUAAGUACCCCGAGGAAAAGAAAUCAACCGAGAUUCCCCCAGUAGCGGCGAGCGAACGGGGAGGAGCCCAGAGCCUGAAUCAGUGUGUGUGUUAGUGGAAGCGUCUGGAAAGGCGCGCGAUACAGGGUGACAGCCCCGUACACAAAAAUGCACAUAUUGUGAGCUCGAUGAGUAGGGCGGGACACGUGGUAUCCUGUCUGAAUAUGGGGGGACCAUCCUCCAAGGCUAAAUACUCCUGACUGACCGAUAGUGAACCAGUACCGUGAGGGAAAGGCGAAAAGAACCCCGGCGAGGGGAGUGAAAAAGAACCUGAAACCGUGUACGUACAAGCAGUGGGAGCACGCUUAGGCGUGUGACUGCGUACCUUUUGUAUAAUGGGUCAGCGACUUAUAUUCUGUAGCAAGGUUAACCGAAUAGGGGAGCCGAAGGGAAACCGAGUCUUAACUGG
rnacentral:rRNA from 1 species